CCUACGGGUGGCUGCAGUAGGGAAUAUUGGACAAUGGGCGCAAGCCUGAUCCAGCCAUGCCGCGUGAGUGAAGAAGGCCCUCGGGUUGUAAAGCUCUUUUGUUGGGGAAGAAAAGCCUUGGGUUAAUACCCUGAGGUUCUGACGGUACCCAAAGAAUAAGCACCGGCUAACUUCGUGCCAGCAGCCGCGGUAAUACGAAGGGUGCAAGCGUUACUCGGAAUUACUGGGCGUAAAGCGUGCGUAGGUGGUUCGUUAAGUCUGAUGUGAAAGCCCUGGGCUCAACCUGGGAAUUGCAUUGGAUACUGGCGAGCUAGAGUGCGGUAGAGGGUAGUGGAAUUCCCGGUGUAGCAGUGAAAUGCGUAGAGAUCGGGAGGAACAUCUGUGGCGAAGGCGACUGCCUGGACCAGCACUGACACUGAGGCACGAAAGCGUGGGGAGCAAACAGGAUUAGAUACCCUUGUAGUC
rnacentral:rRNA from 1 species